rnacentral:rRNA from 1 species
UUAAGCGACUAAGCGUACACGGUGGAUGCCCUGGCAGUCAGAGGCGAUGAAGGACGUGCUAAUCUGCGAUAAGCGUCGGUAAGGUGAUAUGAACCGUUAUAACCGGCGAUUUCCGAAUGGGGAAACCCAGUGUGAUUCGUCACACUAUCAUUAACUGAAUCCAUAGGUUAAUGAGGCGAACCGGGGGAACUGAAACAUCUAAGUACCCCGAGGAAAAGAAAUCAACCGAGAUUCCCCCAGUAGCGGCGAGCGAACGGGGAGGAGCCCAGAGCCUGAAUCAGUGUGUGUGUUAGUGGAAGCGUCUGGAAAGGCGCGCGAUACAGGGUGACAGCCCCGUACACAAAAAUGCACAUGCUGUGAGCUCGAUGAGUAGGGCGGGACACGUGGUAUCCUGUCUGAAUAUGGGGGGACCAUCCUCCAAGGCUAAAUACUCCUGACUGACCGAUAGUGAACCAGUACCGUGAGGGAAAGGCGAAAAGAACCCCGGCGAGGGGAGUGAAAAAGAACCUGAAACCGUGUACGUACAAGCAGUGGGAGCCUCUUUUAUGGGGUGACUGCGUACCUUUUGUAUAAUGGGUCAGCGACUUAUAUUCUGUAGCAAGGUUAACCGAAUAGGGGAGCCGAAGGGAAACCGAGUCUUAACCGGGCGUUAAGUUGCAGGGUAUAGACCCGAAACCCGGUGAUCUAGCCAUGGGCAGGUUGAAGGUUGGGUAACACUAACUGGAGGACCGAACCGACUAAUGUUGAAAAAUUAGCGGAUGACUUGUGGCUGGGGGUGAAAGGCCAAUCAAACCGGGAGAUAGCUGGUUCUCCCCGAAAGCUAUUUAGGUAGCGCCUCGUGAAUUCAUCUCCGGGGGUAGAGCACUGUUUCGGCAAGGGGGUCAUCCCGACUUACCAACCCGAUGCAAACUGCGAAUACCGGAGAAUGUUAUCACGGGAGACACACGGCGGGUGCUAACGUCCGUCGUGAAGAGGGAAACAACCCAGACCGCCAGCUAAGGUCCCAAAGUCAUGGUUAAGUGGGAAACGAUGUGGGAAGGCCCAGACAGCCAGGAUGUUGGCUUAGAAGCAGCCAUCAUUUAAAGAAAGCGUAAUAGCUCACUGGUCGAGUCGGCCUGCGCGGAAGAUGUAACGGGGCUAAACCAUGCACCGAAGCUGCGGCAGCGACACUGUGUGUUGUUGGGUAGGGGAGCGUUCUGUAAGCCUGUGAAGGUGUGCUGUGAGGCAUGCUGGAGGUAUCAGAAGUGCGAAUGCUGACAUAAGUAACGAUAAAGCGGGUGAAAAGCCCGCUCGCCGGAAGACCAAGGGUUCCUGUCCAACGUUAAUCGGGGCAGGGUGAGUCGACCCCUAAGGCGAGGCCGAAAGGCGUAGUCGAUGGGAAACAGGUUAAUAUUCCUGUACUUGGUGUUACUGCGAAGGGGGGACGGAGAAGGCUAUGUUGGCCGGGCGACGGUUGUCCCGGUUUAAGCGUGUAGGCUGGUUUUCCAGGCAAAUCCGGAAAAUCAAGGCUGAGGCGUGAUGACGAGGCACUACGGUGCUGAAGCAACAAAUGCCCUGCUUCCAGGAAAAGCCUCUAAGCAUCAGGUAACAUCAAAUCGUACCCCAAACCGACACAGGUGGUCAGGUAGAGAAUACCAAGGCGCUUGAGAGAACUCGGGUGAAGGAACUAGGCAAAAUGGUGCCGUAACUUCGGGAGAAGGCACGCUGAUAUGUAGGUGAAGUCCCUCGCGGAUGGAGCUGAAAUCAGUCGAAGAUACCAGCUGGCUGCAACUGUUUAUUAAAAACACAGCACUGUGCAAACACGAAAGUGGACGUAUACGGUGUGACGCCUGCCCGGUGCCGGAAGGUUAAUUGAUGGGGUCAGCGCAAGCGAAGCUCUUGAUCGAAGCCCCGGUAAACGGCGGCCGUAACUAUAACGGUCCUAAGGUAGCGAAAUUCCUUGUCGGGUAAGUUCCGACCUGCACGAAUGGCGUAAUGAUGGCCAGGCUGUCUCCACCCGAGACUCAGUGAAAUUGAACUCGCUGUGAAGAUGCAGUGUACCCGCGGCAAGACGGAAAGACCCCGUGAACCUUUACUAUAGCUUGACACUGAACAUUGAGCCUUGAUGUGUAGGAUAGGUGGGAGGCUUUGAAGUGUGGACGCCAGUCUGCAUGGAGCCGACCUUGAAAUACCACCCUUUAAUGUUUGAUGUUCUAACGUGGACCCGUGAUCCGGGUUGCGGACAGUGUCUGGUGGGUAGUUUGACUGGGGCGGUCUCCUCCUAAAGAGUAACGGAGGAGCACGAAGGUUGGCUAAUCCUGGUCGGACAUCAGGAGGUUAGUGCAAUGGCAUAAGCCAGCUUGACUGCGAGCGUGACGGCGCGAGCAGGUGCGAAAGCAGGUCAUAGUGAUCCGGUGGUUCUGAAUGGAAGGGCCAUCGCUCAACGGAUAAAAGGUACUCCGGGGAUAACAGGCUGAUACCGCCCAAGAGUUCAUAUCGACGGCGGUGUUUGGCACCUCGAUGUCGGCUCAUCACAUCCUGGGGCUGAAGUAGGUCCCAAGGGUAUGGCUGUUCGCCAUUUAAAGUGGUACGCGAGCUGGGUUUAGAACGUCGUGAGACAGUUCGGUCCCUAUCUGCCGUGGGCGCUGGAGAACUGAGGGGGGCUGCUCCUAGUACGAGAGGACCGGAGUGGACGCAUCACUGGUGUUCGGGUUGUCAUGCCAAUGGCACUGCCCGGUAGCUAAAUGCGGAAGAGAUAAGUGCUGAAAGCAUCUAAGCACGAAACUUGCCCCGAGAUGAGUUCUCCCUGACCCUUUAAGGGUCCUGAAGGAACGUUGAAGACGACGACGUUGAUAGGCCGGGUGUGUAAGCGCAGCGAUGCGUUGAGCUAACCGGUACUAAUGAACCGUGAGGCUUAACCUU